AUAAUGGAUGCAUGAAAUCAUAUAGCAAAUUCUUCCAUAAAAUAAUUAUAUGCCAAUUUCGCUAUGCAUUUCAGAAAAGUGUGCAAAAAAUGUCCUGAUUUAUUGAAAUAUGUUUGCAGCACAUUCUUGACCAGGUGAAGGAGAAGAUUGUUUGUGCUUGGACCGAUCAGGUUUGACACCUUGAAAAUACAAAAACUAACCGAGUUGAAUUUUCCCAUGCUACAUUGAAGAAUUGGUUGGAAAAUAAUAAGGGCAAUACGUGGAAAGAUCGGACUCCGAGGAUUCUAGUCCUCUUUGUAGAGCCGCUUUCGGAAUCCUGUGUCUCACGGCGAAGCAAUGGUGGAACGGCGGGUUCAAGACGAAUUCGAUCUCCAAUCACGAAAACACGAACGCGUGCAUAGUUGGAAUAGAAACUGGAAGCAGAUGGUGAAUACUCACCGAAACAAAAUCAGUAUUGAUUGCUUCUUCUUCUUCCGUGUGUGCAAACGCUGAUUGUGAAACUGCGUGCGUAUGAAUUCAUGAUUGUUGAUGCGAUUUUCCGCUUGCGUGAGGUUCUUCUUGUUCUGUUGAAUGGUUCCCGUUCAUGAACAUGGCCGAAAAUGGAUCUCGUUUUUGUCUCGAACACCAAAGGCCAACCGAAUAUGAAAUCGCCGUUACUCAGAUUCCUCUUCGGUUUCGACAAAUUGAUAUCCUCCUCAACCUCGACCUCCCUAACCAAGUUAAACACAAUCUUUGCGUGGAAAGCGAUAUCGUGUUGUGGUGUCAAGAUUCAAACUGCGGAACUGAAACUGCCAGCUACAGAAUGGAAAACUUGCCCUGCAGAGCAAAGCUUCUUGGUUGCAGAAAGAACAAUUUCAGGUGCAGGAGGAAGGUUCAGUUGCAGAGUCGUCACAUAAGGAUUGUGGAAGAUGAAAUGAUGAAAAUGAGACUAGGAGAGGAUGAAGAAUGCGGAAUCGGUCUGGAAUUUUCAAGGUUGAAAACAGAAUCAAGAGUGAAGAAUCGAAGAAAGGAAGAAUGAAGAUUGAAGUGAAGAAUGAAGAUUUUUUCUUCUGAAUUACAAUCAGGAUGCAGGGAAUACUAGAGAGGAAUCGUGCAGAUUUAUGCAGAGAGAGAUGCGCCAAGCCUUGUUUAAUGUUGCAGCUGACCUUGAUUAGGAAUUGUUUUAUAGAAAAGUUAUGAGAUAAAUUGUAUUGAAUUACUGAGAGGUUUUGGGAAUUGGCUAAUAAUGGAAAUAAUGGAUUUCCUAGUCACGAAUUUAAAAUGGAUUUGAAGACUAUUUUGAAAUGGUUUUAUAAAAUGCUCUUGAAGGUUAAUGGAUUUGAAAUCGAUUUA